rnacentral:tRNA from 1 species
GAAAAACCAUCGUUGUACUUCAACUACAAAAACCCU